rnacentral:rRNA from 1 species
GACGAACGCUGGCGGCGUGCCUAAUACAUGCAAGUAGGACGCAGUUGCGAACGGGAGAGUAACGCGUAGGUCACUACCUAUUAGAGGGGGAUAACUAUUGGAAACGAUAGCUAAUACCGCAUACUAGUAGAUUGACCUGCGUUGUAUUAUCUAGUUGGUAGGGUAAUGGCCUACCUAGGCAACGGUACAUAGCCGAGCUGGAGGGGAUGUCGGGCACACUGGGAAUUGGGCACGGCCCAGACUCCUACGGGAAGCAAGAAUAGGGGAUCUUCGGCAAUGGGGGGAACGCUGACCGCACAACGGCGCGUGAGUGGAGAAAGUUUUCGGGUCGUAAAGCUCUGUUGUUAAGGAAGCGGUACUUAACCAGAAAGGAACGGCUAACUACGUGCCAGCAGCCGCGGUAAUUC